rnacentral:rRNA from 1 species
UGGGGAAUUUUGGACAAUGGGCGAAAGCCUGAUCCAGCAAUGCCGCGUGUGUGAAGAAGGCCUUCGGGUUGUAAAGCACUUUUGUCCGGAAAGAAAUCCUUGGCUCUAAUACAGUCGGGGGAUGACGGUACCGGAAGAAUAAGCACCGGCUAACUACGUGCCAGCAGCCGCGGUAAUACGUAGGGUGCAAGCGUUAAUCGGAAUUACUGGGCGUAAAGCGUGCGCGGGCGGUUUGCUAAGACCGAUGUGAAAUCCCCGGGCUCAACCUGGGAACUGCAUUGGUGACUGGCAGGCUAGAGUAUGGCAGAGGGGGGUAGAAUUCCACGUGUAGCAGUGAAAUGCGUAGAGAUGUGGAGGAAUACCGAUGGCGAAGGCAGCCCCCUGGGCCAAUACUGACGCUCAUGCACGAAAGCGUGGGGAGCAAACAGGAUUAGAUACCCUGGUAGUCCACGCCCUAAACGAUGUCAACUAGUUGUUGGGGAUUCAUUUCCUUAGUAACGUAGCUAACGCGUGAAGUUGACCGCCUGGGGAGUACGGUCGCAAGAUU